rnacentral:lncRNA from 1 species
AUGCAGACCUGGCUGACAGCUUACGGCACGCCCGGCCAGAAGAUGCUUCUCAGCCUCUCCGGCACGCUGGGAGAGGGGGAACAGAUAUCGCACACGGCCACUGGCAGCUCCUUCCCAGCCUGCGCCUUCUGGCUGCUAGAGAUUUUAGGGACUGCCUGUCUCAGAGAAUGGUCAGAGAAAGAAAGAUUUCCUGAGACUGGGUGCAACACACCACCUUGGCAAGAUCGUAAAAUCACCCUGUUUUCAGGCUGUGGAGAUGCACAUACAACCCUGGCACGGCCACAUCAAGUUCCUUUCUGCUGCGCUGGCUGGGAAGCUGUCCGACAGAGCCACAGGUGCUCAGGCAGCAGGUCAGUGGCUUCCUGGAGAUGUGCAGGGCACUAAGUCCUUCACACAGGUAAAGGAGACGUUUUCCCUUGGGCUCUGAGCUUCCACCCUCAGCUGUGGCAGUGUGCCGUGGGCAGCUGCUGUGGACAGCAGGGCUUUGUCAGCCCUGUUUGUACUUCUGUCUGUGACACUGCCACUGCCAGGACAAACCCGUGACCGAGGCAGGAGCUGGCACACACAGACUUCCCACUUGCUCCCCAUUUCCUGUGUGGGUGCCCACUGCUCCUUAUCCCCUGGAGGAACAGAUUGCUCUGGAUAUCUUCAAUUUUUUCCUGAGAACCUUUGAUCCUCCAGGAGGAAGGUUUUGCCUAGCUCAUAACUGUUGCCCAGUGGGGCCUGGCUUCCCACGUUUCCCUGAUGCCAGGUGCCCUGCCUGCCCCUCUUUCCUGGUGCCCACUGCAGAAGGCUCCUUGCGGGCGGCCCUGGCACGCUGCCCUCCCUGUGAAGCUGGGGAAGCUGGCACAGCCCAGGACUGUGAUGAGGGAAACUCUGACCUGUCAGUUUGGUCUGUGACUGCCGGGACAUUUGGGUUUUCCGCCAGCCUUUUUUUAUUUUGGUUUGGGUUUGUCUGUUUGCUUGUAUGUCUAGGUUUGUUAGUGCUAGCUUGGUGAUUGCUUUGGUUCCUGUUGCAGUUUCUGCAGUGCAGGUCCCUACGGGAUCCCCAUUCCGGGAGUUUAGGGGAGGAGGUCCAUCCCUGUGUCCCCAGACGUGCUGUGGUCAAGCUCCCUCACCCCUGGGGCCUGAUGGUGAGGCUUUGCCUGGGGUAAUUCUUGUCCCCACAAGAUGGAACCACACCGGGUGUGAUAAUUCUUGCUCUCAGCACCCAGUGACUGUCUCAGGGGGACACUUGUUCCGGAGGCUCUUUCCAAGGCUUGUGCCCGGCUGAUGUUUCAUUCCCGGGGCAGCAGGGAAGAGCAGUGAUGCCUCUCAUAUGGAAAGGCGAGUGAAUGGCAGAACCGCACCGAUUUCAGCCGAGCCGAGCCCGGCCGAACCCGGC